AAUGAACGUUGGCGGCGUGGAUUAGGCAUGCAAGUCGUGCGGAAAGGCUCCUUCGGGAGUACUCGAGCGGCGAAAGGGAGAGUAACGCGUGGAUAUCUACCCUCGGAUCUGGGAUAGCGAUGGGAAACUGCCGGUAAUACCAGAUAACGUCUCCGGACCAAAGGUGUGAUUCCGUCUGAGGAUGAGUCCGCGUCCUAUUAGCUUGUUGGUGGGGUAACGGCCUACCAAGGCUGUGAUGGGUACCGGGUGUGAGAGCAUGGCCCGGCUCACUGGGACUGAGACACUGCCCAGACACCUACGGGUGGCUGCAGUCGAGAAUCUUCGGCAAUGGGCGCAAGCCUGACCGAGCGACGCCGCGUGCGGGAUGAAGGCCCUCGGGUUGUAAACCGCUGUCAGAGGGGAGGAAAUGCAUGAGGGUUUCUCUCUCAUGUUUGACCUAUCCUCAGAGGAAGUACGGGCUAAGUUCGUGCCAGCCGCCGCGGUAA
rnacentral:rRNA from 1 species